UACAGAGGGUGCUAGCGUUGUUCGGAAUCAUUGGGCGUAAAGGGCGCGUAGGCGGCCUGGCAAGUGACGGGUGAAAGCCCUCGGCUCAACCGAGGAACUGCCUGUCAUACUGCCGGGCUUGAGUCCGGGAGAGGUGAGUGGAAUUCCCAGUGUAGCGGUGAAAUGCGUAGAUAUUGGGAGGAACACCAGUGGCGAAGGCGGCUCACUGGACCGGAACUGACGCUGAGGCGCGAAAGCGUGGGGAGCAAACAGG
rnacentral:rRNA from 1 species